GACGAACGCUGGCGGCGUGCUUAACACAUGCAAGUCGAACGCUGAACCCGCUUCGGUGGGGGAUGAGUGGCGAACGGGUGAGUAACACGUGGGCAACCUGCCCCCGGCUCUGGGAUAACUCCAAGAAAUUGGGGCUAAUACCGGAUGUGACCGCUGGCCGCAUGGUCUGGUGGUGGGAAGGGUUUCCGGCUGGGGAUGGGCCCGCGGCCUAUCAGCUUGUUGGUGGGGUAGUGGCCUACCAAGGCGACGACGGGUAGCCGGCCUGGGAGGGUGACCGGCCACACUGGGACUGAGACACGGCCCAGACUCCUACGGGAGGCAGCAGUGGGGAAUAUUGCGCAAUGGGCGGAAGCCUGACGCAGCGACGCCGCGUGGGGAUGACGGCCUUCGGGUUGUAAACCUCUUUCAGCAGGGACGAAGCGCAAGUGACGGUACCUGCAGAAGAAGCACCGGCCAACUACGUG
rnacentral:rRNA from 1 species